UUAAUUUGACUCAACACGGGGAAACUUACCUGGUCCAGACAUAGCAAGGAUUGACAGACUGACAGCUCUUUCUUAAUUCUACGGGUGGUGGUGCAUGGCCGUUCUUAGUUGGUGGAGCGAUUUCUCUAGUUAAUUCCGUUAACGAACGAGACCUCAGCCUGAUAACUAGCUAUGCGGAGCCAUCCCUCCACAGCUAGCUUCUUAGAGGGACUGUUGUUGUUUAGGCGACGGAGGUUUGAGGCAAUAACAGGUAUGUGAUGCCCUUAGAUGUUCUGGGCC
rnacentral:rRNA from 16 species